rnacentral:rRNA from 1 species
UACGUAGGGUGCAAGCGUUAAUCGGAAUUACUGGGCGUAAAGCGUGCGCAGGCGGUUUUGUAAGUCUGUCGUGAAAUCCCCGGGCUCAACCUGGGAAUUGCGAUGGAGACUGCAAGGCUAGAAUCUGGCAGAGGGGGGUAGAAUUCCACGUGUAGCAGUGAAAUGCGUAGAGAUGUGGAGGAACACCGAUGGCGAAGGCAGCCCCCCUGGGUCA